ACAGAGGGUGCGAGCGUUGUCCGGAAUCACUGGGCGUAAAGGGCGCGUAGGCGGCGCGGUAAGCGUGCGGUGAAAGCCCGGGGCUCAACCCCGGGUCGGCCGUGCGGACUGCCGGGCUGGAGCACUGUAGAGGCAGGUGGAAUUCCGGGUGUAGCGGUGGAAUGCGUAGAGAUCCGGAAGAACACCGGUGGCGAAGGCGGCCUGCUGGGCAGUAGCUGACGCUGAAGCGCGACAGCGUGGGGAGCAAACAGG
rnacentral:rRNA from 1 species